GGGUGAAGGCCAGCCAUGUUGAGUGUGGCCGACGGAGGAGCGCGAUCGGACCCGAGGCUAGAGGAUGCGGGGAAGCCAUCUUUGGUGUGGCGCUUUGGGAGCUCGGCGGGACUCGGGAGGAGCCAGAGUCUAUCCGCAGAGGAGACCACCCCCUUCCCUUUGACGCUAAUUGGGCCUUCUGGCUGAGCGGGUCACCCCCGAGCCAAAACACGCUGAGGACUUGACAAGGGUGACCCAGGGAUCCGGGACCCGGCAGACGAUUCAGAAGGAAUCGUCACUCUAGGCGGAUCGGAGUAACCGCAGCUUUGCGGCUGCUCGCUGCUGUCACUGCGGCCCUCUCAUUGGCCAGGGGUUUACAGUUCUGUUCAGCACGCACACUGAUGGCUUAAGCUCUUUCCAAAACAAGCAAAAACUACGCGACAAUAACUGAUCCUCCCCAUAAGACAGCCGCGCCUCAGCAGGAACUACGUGAAUGUACAAAAGUCCUGCACAUAUGUCAAUGUAUACACCCUCCCUGAGAACAGCACUUCAGCAAAGAAUGAGAGUUGUGGAGAUCCCGAGUACGCAAGCAGUAGCAAGAAAAAGAUUUGAAAGGUGGAACUGCGGCAGGGAAAUGGAUUAGCAGGUAAAGGGAAUUGCCACCACGCCUGGCGAUCUUAGUUUGAUCCCCGGACCCAGAAUGGUGGACCAAGAGAGCAGAUUCCUCUAAGGUGUCCUCUGAUCUGCAUUGCGUGCAGGUGCAUGAGAAGACAUGUAUGAUUACAUACAUACAUACAUACAUACAUGUAAUAAAAAGAAAA
rnacentral:lncRNA from 1 species